UAGUUCUUAAAUCAGCUCCAUUGUUGAAGCUCUCACUUUACAAUUAAAUUGGUUCUAGGUUUUCUAAUACCAUUUAUGCUAGAGUUCAGUUAAAAUUAAGCAUCAAGUAGGCUUUUGAGAGCUUACCGGGGAGAAUAAUCACAAGCUAUAAUUUUAUUUCUAAUAAGAAAUUAGUGUAUUGCACACUUAAAAAAUAUGAAACCAAGAUGUUUGUAAAUUAGGAACUAUCUUAGUUAAAGAAUUUUAUAAAUUAUAAAGCUCAUGUACAAAUGUUAAACAUGAGGGUGACCCAGUUUUGAUUUAGUGGUGGUCUUGGGUGUUGUGAUUGACUAGAAUUAUUUUCCUUCAGUCCUUACUGCUGCCUUGAGACCAUCCUGGAGCUCUCUACUAAGCCAAAGUGACAAACCUUAUAAAGUAGAGAAGGCUCUUCUUAAGGAACCACAGUUUUAAGAAGAUGGGAAAAGAAAGUUAACAUUUAUUGAGCAUCUACCAUGAGCCAAGUUGUUUAAUCAUUAUAGGAACUAUCAAGAGGAUAUUCCAAAUGAGGAUUUCACAGGAUUAAAUAAUUUUCCUUGUCUAGCAUCAAGUAAGUAGUGGAGAUAGUUUUUAAAAUAUAGGUAGUAAUUUUUCAUUUUAACUUUUAUUUAAAUAUAACAGAUACACCAAACAGUUUGGGAAUCAGAACUGUUCGUUGUUGAAUUUUCACAAAGUGAACACUCUGAAACCAGUCUCCAGGUCGGAAAAUGAAACAUCACCAGAAUCUCAGAAGCCGCCCAGAGCAUGCUAAUUAUCCUCCCCAGAGAGUGAUCUCUCCUGAUUUCCAGCACUUCUAACAUCAGAGUAGUUUAUAUUACAUCAGUUUUGACUGCUUUUGAACUUUAUAUAAACAGGAUCAUACAAUAUAUCCUGUUUUACGUCUGGCUUCUUUCAACUUUCCGUUUGGGCAGUUCAUUGAUAUUGUCACGUGCAGUUGUAGUUUGCUCAUUCUCAUUAUUGUAUAAUACUCCACUGUGCGAACAUACCUCAAUUUGCUUAUCCAUUUAACUGUUAAUGGCCAUUUGGAUAAUUUCCAAUAGCUACUUAGCUAUUACGAAUAGUACAGCUAUGAGCAUUAUUAUACACACAUGUCUUUUGGUGCACAAAUGUACGCAUUUCUGCUGAAUGUAUACUUAGGAGGGCAGUUGCUGUGUCAUAGGAUUUGUGUUAGGAAUUUUGAUUACUUUAUAUUCUUCUUAACUGCCAAACAGUUGUCCAAAAUUGGUUAUACCAAAUGUACACUCCAACCAGCAGCCUAUGGGAAUUCUGACAGUUCUCAUCCAUUCUAACAGAGGCAUUUUGAAACAAGGUUUCUGACUCUAAAACCCAAUGUUAUUUUCCUUUUAUCUAAAUUUUAUUUAAAGGUAAGAACUUGGUAACAAUUUUCUUUUAUGAAUUCCAUGAUUCUUUCUAAGAUUAUUAUUCUUUGUUCAUUUAGUGAGUUUCCUUUUUUAUACUGGAAAAUACAUCUGUGCUGAAUAGAAUUUAGCAGGGUCAGCAGUGUAUCGGAGGCCUCACGCAAGUAUUUAUCUUCAGUGAACCCAGCUUCUUCUAUUUUCUCUGCAUGGGUGAAAAGAAUGGCAGUGUAAUUCUUCCAAGCAUGUCCCAGAAGUUCCUGAAAGAAAGAAGAAGUUAAAUGGCUAUUUGACUUGGCCCAUAGUCCUCAAACACAAGCAAAGGAUAGUUUUUUAGAUAUAUAUUAGUUAUUAGACCUAUAUUAGACACAUAGACAGUCAACAGAUCUGGAUGUUAUGUUACUAAAAGCUGAUAUAUGUAAUGGGGAGUGAAGAUGGGGUCAAAUAAUGGAAAUAGAGAGAUGGGCAGAUUUUGUUUUAAAAAAAGGCUUUCUUCAUUUUAAUUUGCUCUUAUAAUUUAUGUAUAUACAACUUCAGAACUGCGUAUUAUUAAUGCUGCAUAUGAUACAAUUUCAUUUACAACAUUCAGCAAUAAUUUAUAUUUACCUGCCAACCUGAAGCUAUUAGAAUUACAGUUCCUUUAAGUCAAAGGACUUCGGCCAAGGGAAUUAUCCUAUCUUUUUUUGUAGGAAUGUUGUGUUAUUAUCAUAACUAAAAGUAUCUUCUGAGGAUUUAUAAUUACAUAAUCUGGUUACAAUCUAUUGACUAAUCCAAUGAUGUGUAAUGGAAAAGCUAAGAUCAAAUUACAUUUAGUAAUUUGGAACAACGACAAAACAUUACUGUGAUUCGAAUCCUCUUCACUUCACAUGCCAGAAUCAAGCCCAGUUUAUCAGAGGACUUCCUCUAAUGUGGUUGAAAAACAUUGAAGACUGGUAUUCCUUUGUUUCGUAAUGUGUGGAAGUUGGUUAUGGAAUAAAGUCUUGUUCUAUUAGUGAAAAUAAGCUGAUAUAAAAUGGAAGCAACAGAAUGUGGCAAAUUGUUCACACAAUGUGGAAGGUGUCUAGAAAUAAUCAUUUAACAUUUUUAAUAUUCCAAAAGUUAUAGGAAAUCAUGACAUUGUGGAAGUAAAAUGACAUUCCUUUCAUUUCAAAUAUUCUUGUUACCAAAAUAUUUUCAAAGGUGCUACCAGUUUAUAAUAGCAAUUUGGAGUUUAGACCCUCACCAUCAUCCUAAAUAGAAGAUUUAAAGUAUUUCAUUUUUGAGUUUUCAGAAAAAUAUGAAAUACUUAGGAAUAAAUACAACAAAUAUCCAGGACCUCUAGUAAUCAGAAGGAAGAAAGAAGGGAGAAUAACUAAUAUUUAGUGGUAGACACUAUGCUCAUCACUUUACACACUUUAUUCCUUUUGAAAUUAUGUUGAUAAUGCUUUGUGGGAGAUAAUACAAACUCGGGUUUAAAAAAUCUGAAAGACAGGUUGGGAAACUCUUGCCAAUGUAUAUAACAAAUGUAGGACUGGUAUUUAUAAAACUGAAAAACUGAAAAUGAAGAGAGAAAGAGGAAGAGAGAGAAAGGAAGGAGAGGAGGAAGAAUCUAGACAGGUAAGUAAUAUGGAAAUAUGGCAACUGUGGGACAAUAUAUUUAAAUUUAAACAUAUCUAGACCAUGGUUACCAAUUACGGUUCCUAAUACAGUUUGUCAUUUAUCAGAGCUAUGUAUUUAUGUAUUUAUCUCUGUGAGCUUUUGGAAGCUAGAAUCUAUGUCUUUCUUAUCAAAGCCUCACGUUGUAAUCUCUCAAUAGAAAGUGGUUGGACUAAUUAGGAGUUUGGAGCCUCACCAUCACCUCAAACAGAAGGCUUAGGGUUUUAUUUAUUUAUUUUGAGGCUUCAGUUUUGAAGUUUAAUCUUUGGGACAAAAAAUUUACCUUCCUGUAAAAUUUCUCUUGUGUUCUGUAGUUCCUGCUCAUGGAUUUGCAUGUAGUCUGUACUUUCUCUUUUGCAUUCAGACUCUCUCAAUGAUUAAGUCCAAAAUUUUUCCUCAUAUCUGUUUAAAAUUUGUCUGCACCAUAGAAUAAUUGUGUAUUUCUGGUUCUCCUAAAAGUGCCCUGACUGAAGAAAAUCUGAAUGGAAGUUUCAGGAUUAGUACAUUAAAUGAAUAAUUAUUUUUAAUAGAUUCUAUUACAAAAAGAACUUACAAAAUAACCUUACAGAAGAACCUUACAAAAGAACUUUUAAGAAGGUAUUUUAAUUGGUAUAUUCUUAUGUGCCCUCAAAACAUAAAUUAUUAAAAUUUAAAUUAGCCCAACUUUUAAGGAAGAUAGCUGUUUGUAAAUCUAAGUAUAUGUGUAAUGUCAACAUCACAUUUUAGCUAAUAGUGACAUAGCAACACUUGUCAUACUUAGUAUGUUGUAAUGUAUUUCUUGUGAAAAAGAUCAAAGAGUCGCAAAAUAAACAGGUAUUAUGGUUUGAA